rnacentral:rRNA from 1 species
UACGUAGGGGGUAAGCGUUGUCCGGAUUUAUUGGGCGUAAAGAGCGUGUAGGCGGCCUGAAAGGUCAGCUGUGAAAACUCGAGGCUCAACCUCGAGACGUCGGUUGAAACCAUCUGGCUAGAGUCCGGAAGAGGAGAGUGGAAUUCCUGGUGUAGCGGUGAAAUGCGCAGAUAUCAGGAAGAACACCCGUGGCUAAGGCGGCUCUCUAGUACGGUACUGACGCUGAGACGCGAAAGCGUGGGGAGCGAACAGG